rnacentral:rRNA from 1 species
AGAUUGAACGCUGGCGGCAUGCCUUACACAUGCAAGUCGAACGGUAGAGCAGCAAUGCUCGAGAGUGGCGAACGGGUGAGUAAUAUAUCGGAACGUGCCCAAUCGUGGGGGAUAACGUAGAGAAAUUUACGCUAAUACCGCAUACGAUCUAAGGAUGAAAGCGGGGGACCGUAAGGCCUCGCGCGAUUGGAGCGGCUGAUAUCAGAUUAGGUUGUUGGUGAGGUAAAAGCUCACCAAGCCGACGAUCUGUAGCUGGUUUGAGAGAACGACCAGCCACACUGGGACUGAGACACGGCCCAGACCUCCGUACGGGAGGCAGCGAGUGGGGAAUUUUGGACUAAGUGGGACGAAAGCCUAGGAUCCAGCAAGUCGCCGUCGUGGUAGGGAA